UGGCACAAAUCUAAUUAUAAGCACAAUGUUUUAAGUUACUUGCUAUGAAUGGCUUUACUAAUUAUAAGCACAAUGUUUUAGCUUUCGUUUUAUUUGAAGUUAUUAUAAUUUUUGUUGUCGGCCAAUGAUAAUAAUGUUGAUGAUGAUUUAUAUUGCUAUGAAUGCCAGGUCAACCAAGGUAGACUCGAUAGACUAAUCAAACUUUCAUCUAUAUUUUCUGAAGACCCAUCUGUGCUACAAGAGGUACAUUGAGAGAUGAGUUGUGCCAGACUUAAAGUUGAAUACAUACGAUAAGACAGAUUGCUAUGCACUUGCAAAUCCAUUACUUUGUUUUAUGAGAAAUGCAAAAGGGACCAGCCUGAACUGUCAUAUAAGCCUUUUUAACAUGUAUGGUGAUCUAUUUAGCCUUUUAAGCAUGAUAGGCUAUCCUUAGGUAACUGUUGCAUUAACUGUAUACUCUGUACUGAUUUUUCUCUUUAUGGUAGUGUAAUAGUGCUUGAGGAA